UAGUCCUAGUCGUAAACGAUGGACACUAGGUGUUGGAGGAGUCUACCCCUUCAGUGCCGCAGCUAAUGCAUUAAGUGUCCCACCUGGGGAGUACGAUCGCAAGGUUGAAACUCAAAGGAAUUGACGGGGGCCCGCACAAGCGGUGGAGCAUGUGGUUUAAUUCGACGCAACGCGAAGAACCUUACCUGGGCUUGACAUGCAGGGGACAGGUGUAGAAAUACAUCCUUCUUCGGACUCCUGUACAGGUGCUGCAUGGCUGUCGUCAGCUCGUGUCGUGAAAUGUUAGGUUAAGUCCUGCAACGAGCGCAACCCUUGCCCCUAGUUACAAGUGUCUAGGGGGACUGCCGGUGAUAAAUCGGAGGAAGGUGGGGAUGACGUCAAGUCAGCAUGGCCUUUAUAUCCAGGGCUACACACACGCUACAAUGGCCGGUACAAUGAGUAGCGAAGCCGCGAGGAAGAGCGAAUCUCGAAAGCCGGUCGUAGUUCGAAUUGUAGGCUGCAAC
rnacentral:rRNA from 1 species